rnacentral:lncRNA from 1 species
UAAGAUAAUCAACAACAACAACAACAAACCCAGUGUAUUCCCACAUACUGGGAUUUGGGGAGGGUAAACUGUACGCAAUUCAUAUCACUACUUCCGAAGAAGUAGAGAGGUUGUUUUUUAUAGACCCCUGGCUCAAGACAAAGGAUAGUAAACAAAGUUGUGAUAAAACCUAGAACAAGAUGGGUAGAAUAAGAGAAAUAAAACACCCAAAAAGUAAUACCAUAGACUCAUAAACCAAAGGCACCUACCACACCUAAACACUCCUAACUAGCAACUCCAACUUAUGGACACAACCUUAAGACUACUAGCCCUGCUACAUCACAGCUCUCCUAACUACUUG